CCUACGGGAGGCAGCAGUGAGGAAUAUUGGUCAAUGGGCGGGAGCCUGAACCAGCCAAGUAGCGUGAAGGAUGACUGCCCUAUGGGUUGUAAACUUCUUUUAUAAAGGAAUAAAGUGAGGCACGUGUGCCUUUUUGUAUGUACUUUAUGAAUAAGGAUCGGCUAACUCCGUGCCAGCAGCCGCGGUAAUACGGAGGAUUCGAGCGUUAUCCGGAUUUAUUGGGUUUAAAGGGAGCGUAGGUGGGUUGUUAAGGCCGUUGUGAAAGUUUGCGGCUCAACCGUAAAAUUGCAGUUGAUACUGGCAGCCUUGAGUACAGUAGAGGUAGGCGGAAUGCGUGGUGUAGCGGUGAAAUGCUUAGAUAUCACGAAGAACUCCGAUUGCGAAGGCAGCUUACUAGACUGCCACUGACAUUGAUGCUCGAAAGUGUGGGUAUCAAACAGGAUUAGAUACCCUUGUAGUC
rnacentral:rRNA from 1 species